UUUUUUUUUUUUUUUUUUUUUCCUUCUUCUUCCAUGCUUUAGUUUUUCAACAAAUUCGGGACACAUUGAUCUAUUCAGAAAA
rnacentral:ribozyme from 12 species